GAUGAACGCUGGCGGCGUGCCUAAUACAUGCAAGUCGAGCGAACAGACGAGGAGCAUGCUCCUCUGACGUUAGCGGCGGACGGGUGAGUAACACGUGGAUAAACUACCUAUAAGACUGGGAUAACUUCGGGAAACCGGAGCUAAGACCGGAUAAUAUAUUGAACCGCAUGGUUCAAUAGUGAAAGACGGUUUUGCUGUCACUUAUAGAUGGAUCCGCGCCGCAUUAGCUAGUUGGUAAGGUAACGGCUUACCAAGGCAACGAUGCGUAGCCGACCUGAGAGGGUGCUCGGCCACACUGGAAUUGAGACACGGUCCAGCAUACUACGGGAGGCAGCAGUAGGAGAUUCUCAGCAAUGGGAGAAAGCCUGACGGAGCAACGCCGCGUGAGUGCUGAAGGUAUUCGGAUCGUAAAACUCUGUUAUUAGGGAAGAACAAAUGUCUAAGUAACUAUGCACGUCUUGAAGGUACCUAAUCAGAAAGCCACGGCUAACUACGUG
rnacentral:rRNA from 1 species